rnacentral:tRNA from 1 species
AGAAACUUAGUUUAACCAGACCAAGAGCCUUCAAAGCCCUAAGUAGAAGUGAAAACCCUCUAGUUUCUG